rnacentral:lncRNA from 1 species
CAGAAGUCAGGUUUGCUUGAGAAUCAAGCCCUAGGAAUUGUGACGUUGCAGUCAAUGUGGAGAGCCCAUCAUUUGGGUCAAGGUGCAAAACCCUAAUUCUAUGUACUUGAGACCUUGGAGACUACUUCAUGGUGUUUAUUCAUGCUCAAACCCUAGUUUUUGGUCUUUGAGGUUCAUGAAUCAUGUGACUUGCAUUAAGGUGUUGGAAACCCUAUUUUUGGUUCAUGUCAUUGGUGGAGCACUUGUGUUGAAGCCUCAAUUCUUGGUUUGAGGUUCUUAAUUAUUACUUUGCAUCUUGAUCUUGAUCUAGCUAAAAUCCUAAUUCAUGGUUUAAGAUAUCUGAUCAUUGUGGUUUGGAUCAUGCCAUUCUUGUUUAUUUGUGGAUCAUGGCUUGUGGUAUGUCUACUUAUUUGAUGUUCAUUUGAUCCAAGGUCUUAUUUCAUUCAUAUUUUCAUGGUCUCAUCAAUGCAUCACUAAUCCAUGGUCUCAUGUUUCAUUAGUGUUCUUAUUGAUUCAAGUUUUUCAUGCUUCAUUCAUGAUCCAUUGAUUUCUAUUUCAUUCAUUUAUUCAAGUAUGUUUUAGGGUGCAUUAAGGAUCUUUGGUUCAAAGUGAUUUCAAAUUGAAACUUGGAGGGGAAAUGGCAAUUUGAAUGAAAAUCAUAUUACAUUGAUCAUAAGCAUUUUCUCAUGUAUAAAACCUUUGUUUUAUUCGUGCAUAGCAUGGUAAAAUGUCCAUACAUGUUCAUACAAAAGAAAUUUUAAAAAAUACAAUUUUUGCAUAAGUUGAAUUUUGGUCAACUAUUGACUUUUUGGUCAACUAGUUGACCAAAGUCAACUAAUCUAUUUUACAUCUCCUAAACACUAAUCCCUUUUCACCAAGUCAUCCUUUUCCACUUGAUUUUUUCCAUUUUCCAAUGUUACUUCAAGUACAAGCAAGUGAAUGUCAUGGCCUUGUUACAUUUUUACUUCAUGAAAGCAACUCUACAAAACCAUUAAAGCAAAGCAUCAUGCAUUAUUAGCAAUCCAUCAUUUACAUUACAUGAUAACCAUUUCCAAAGCAAAACCUAUCCCUACUUAACAAACAUUCCAUUUCCAAACACCUAGCAUUAACAUUCAUUUACUAAUCAUGCCAACCAAUCUAAACCAAUUCUAGCAACCACACAUUUCCAGACAUACUUAAUUGCCCAUGACAACAAGCACUCAUAGCAAGCCAAAUUCCAAAGCAUUCACAAGCAUAUAACCAUACAUUAUCAUGUAGCAGACCACACUUUUUUUCAUUACAAAUCACGAUUACAAGCAAAGCAUCAUCGCUAACAGCCCUGUCAUAUUUCACAGCCAAAACUAACCAUUUAACAUGCUAACUACUGACAUCAUAUGCGAUCAUUUUCACAACAUUAGCAUCACACCAUGUCCAUUUAACAUUCAAGCAUAACAAUGCAUCACAUCCAUAUCCUACAACACUAGCUAGCAGCAGCUGAACCAACAAUUCAUUGCAAUUCAUAUCAUUCAUCAAAACACUAACAGUUAACAAUUACACACAUGCAUAGUAGUCCAUAUUUCAAUGCACGUGGUAGGGUAUUUCAAUGCACACACCAAGAUCAUCAACAACAGGAAAAUCAUUCAUCAUCACAAACAUCCAAGCAACUAUUCACAUACGCAUAAUAACAGUUCAUUUCACAAAACCAAGCAAGGCAUUAACCUAGCAUAACAACACUUACAACUAACAUCAAUUAACAUUUCCAUCUAACAUAUAAUUCGAGUAUAACAGACUAAGAAUUAACUUAACAACUAACCUACAAUCUAACAGAAAAUCAAGUUUCAUUUCACUAUUAACUGAAUCAGCUUAACAUUAAACGAAAUUUAACUUCCAUUUAACUUCUAACAGAAAAUUGAAUUUAACAUUUCACUUUCAAUCCCCUAACUAACUCUCAUUUCCCAACUAAUUUUCGCUCUAACUAACUAACAUAGUUAGUUAACUGACAACAAACCUUGAGUCAAUUCCAAUAACCUGAACUGAUAGAGACUCUUCAUCCUUCACCUCAAUUCACACAUUCACUCAGAUUCUCAUCUUCAUAAUCCUUCAAUCUUCACACACACUCUCUCUCUCUCUCUCACGAAUUCACACACACUCACACAAGAUUCAAACUCAAUCUCAGAACAAAGAAAAAGAAGAGGAAGAGAAUCACGAGCUGAAGAAGAAGAGGAUUCAGAGAGAAGAAAGGUUCAGAAGAGAUACCUGAAAUUCUGGUGACCUUUGCGUCUUCUCCACCGGUAAGUUCUCGAUUUCCUUAGCCAUUUGAUUCAUGCUUGUUACCGGGAUGUAGAUCUGAGCUAGGGGAAUCAAAGCCCUAACCCCUAGGACUCUGAUUCCAGAGGACUGUGAUUUAAUUUCUCAUUUUGUUUCUAGGGUUCAUGUACAAUCUGUUGCGAUUCGUUUAACUGGUGAAUAAUUGUUAGAAAUGGAUAUGGGAUACGGACUUAGGGCAACGAUAGGAAGAAGAUGACAUAGUUUUUUGGUGGUUUAGGGCUCCGCCGACGGCGUCGGUGGAGGAGACUUUCAGGUGAGGAGGGAAUUUGAGUUUGAACAUUGUUUGGCCAUGUGAAAAACAUGGAUGGCACGUGAUUGUUGCUUCUGAAUUUCACUUCCUUCGUUGUGCAUUGGGCUUCAUGCUUCCCAGGCCCAAUUUCUGAUUUUUACACCCUACUAUGCAAGCAUGCUCCCCUGUUUCAUGAGCUUAAACUAGAAUGGGCUUGCCAUG